ACCCAGAUGCCAUCAGUAAGUGUGAUGAGAUCCCAGUGAGAAUCCUAAUUGGACAAGAGCGGCUCAACUGUGUGAGCCAGCUCUGAGCCAGGGCCCUGCCCAGACAGGAGAAGCUUGGGCCCUCAGGAACAAACCAAAAUCUCACCUAAGAAAGAGCUGCACAGGCAUGCAAACAACAGCCAGAGGCUCACACAGAUACCAUUGAUAAGUACCCACAGACCUCAGCCAGAAGCUCACUCAGACAUCAGCAACUCAGGUGCACAGCACCCAGCCUAAGGGCAUCCCAGACAACAGCUACACAGGUGGGCAGGCCACAGCAAGAGACAUGCCCAGAUAUCAUACCAAGAGUGUGCAGCCCCCAGCUUGAACCCGGCCCAGACAACAGUGCAGUGCAGAGAUCCACAAGGCCACUAUUCUGAACCCAGGAAUUGGCACAGUGGUAACAGAGUAAAGGGCUCUCUGUGGUUUUCUGAAUAUUGAAGCCCAUUGGGGGAACAAAAAGUCACCUCAACAAAAGUGCAGCAGGCUGCAUCUGCUGAAAUGAGAAGACACAUAAACAAGUCUCAAGACCAGACUUCCAGAUCACCAAAGGCAACCCCAAGAGGCAAUGAGAUGGAACAAGCUGAUACUCAACUACCUGAACUCCCUGAACUGGCAACAAAGGAGUAUCUGCAAAAAAGGUAAUCAGAUAUAAUUUCUCAGAUAACAGAGAUUGACUUUAAUCGGUGACAGAAACCACCUGUGUCUAACCAUUAAACAAGAAUUGGAACUUUAUUUACUUAACAAAGACC
ensembl:lncRNA